GUGCUUUCUCUGCCUCUGGAGAGCAGCGAAGGAGAGGAGUAAUGUUCCAUGGCCGCUACGUGGAACGUGUAAUCUGUUUGAGAAACUCACUGCAGCUGUUCAUCUGCUUUGGGGAAGAAAAAAAAAAAGUCUCCGCUGAGAAAAGAGAUUCACUUUUCAGGGGGGUGCAGACAGGAUAAACUGACCGCAGUUGUCGUACAAAGGAGACAAAAGCACAUUCCUGCAUUUUCUACAAAACAACUGGCAGGAACACCGGAAACCUUUGAGUCCACAUCUGCCCGCAUUGACCUUAAGAUACAAAAGUCUACGACACCAUGACAACGGCUAUCUGUUAACAUAAUGAUGCCA